GUGAAAACUGCAUACUUAUUGGUUAAUGACUUGUCAGUCACACUGGUGGCCAUUAAACAUGAAUGCAGGUUUAAAGAACUCUUUCACUGGCUACACGUAAAACCAGAAAGCUAAAUCCAUCCCUACUUUUACAAAACUAAACUAUCUCAAUAUAUUUAAAUACAUUCCACAGAUGGAUUAAUAUAUAAGUAACAAAAAAGCAGUUGGAUGUGGCGCGGUGGUUGGCAUCUCACACACUGUGGUUGAAACUAAUUUUGGACAUACUGUGACAUCUGAAAACCUGAAGAUCAUGCUUUUUUUCCAGCACCAGAUGGCAAACAGAGAUUUUGUGACCAGUCUGGUAGUCCAUCGGCUAUCAUCUGACGAUUUGGCCUCUGGGGGCAACAGCCAAAAAUCUCUGGAAGGUGAACAUCUUGCAUGCAGCUGUCAGUAUCCAGUGGGACUGAGUGCUGAGGAGAGGAUGCUAGAUAUUUUUGGCAAGGCUUUUCUCAGGAAUCAGAAAGCAAGAAUGGAAGAGCUAAAUAACAAUAUGUCCAUCAGUUCCAGGAGGGGUUUAUGGAACUGUGAAUAUUUGUGAAGUCUCCAUGAUAAUAGUUUGAUUUACCAGGUCAGAGAGCAGAACAUACAGAGAAUUUUGUCUAUAUUACAUUAUCUGCCACUGUUCAUUGCUUCUAUUUCAGGCUUUACAAAGAUAUACAAAUACAUUCUUAACACAUGAGACAUGCUGCCUUUGUCAUGGUUAUAUAUCUAUUAAAUUUUCUAUAAAUCAGACAGAAACAAAGCAAAUACCCCUGCUAAACCAGUGAAAAAAAA
rnacentral:lncRNA from 1 species